rnacentral:tRNA from 2 species
GGUCGUAUGGAGUAGUGGUCAACUUAGGAGAUUUUGACUGGUCUCUGUCCUUCGAGGCGGUGGAUUCGUAUUCAUAUAUUCUCUUGCCCUGGGUUCGAAUCCCAGUACGACCU